rnacentral:rRNA from 1 species
GCGUAGGUAACCUGCCUUGUAGCGGGGGAGUAACUAUUGGAAACGAUAGCUAAUACCGCAUAACAAUGGGUGACACAUGUCAUUUAUUUGAAAGGGGCAACUGCUCCACUACAAGAUGGACCUGCGUUGUAUUAGCUAGUAGGUGAGGUAACGGCUCACCUAGGCGACGAUGCAUAGCCGACCUGAGAGGGUGAUCGGCCACACUGGGACUGAGACACGGCCCAGACUCCUACGGGAGGCAGCAUG